rnacentral:rRNA from 1 species
CCUACGGGGGGCAGCAGUGGGGAAUAUUGGACAAUGGGGGCAACCCUGAUCCAGCCAUGCCGCGUGUGUGAAGAAGGCCCUCGGGUUGUAAAGCACUUUCAGUGAGGAAGAACGCCUGGUGGUUAAUACCCAUCAGGAAAGACAUCACUCACAGAAGAAGCACCGGCUAACUCCGUGCCAGCAGCCGCGGUAAUACGGAGGGUGCGAGCGUUAAUCGGAAUUACUGGGCGUAAAGCGCGCGUAGGUGGCUUGAUAAGCCGGUUGUGAAAGCCCCGGGCUCAACCUGGGAACGGCAUCCGGAACUGUCAAGCUAGAGUGCAGGAGAGGAAGGUAGAAUUCCCGGUGUAGCGGUGAAAUGCGUAGAGAUCGGGAGGAAUACCAGUGGCGAAGGCGGCCUUCUGGACUGACACUGACACCGAGGUGCGAAAGCGUGGGUAGCAAACAGGAUUAGAUACCCCUGUAGUC